ACCUACGGGGGGCAGCAGUGAGGAAUAUUGGUCAAUGGGCGCUAGCCUGAACCAGCCAAGUAGCGUGAAGGAUGACUGCCCUAUGGGUUGUAAACUUCUUUUAUAUGGGAAUAAAGUGCAGUAUGUAUACUGCCUUGCAUGUACCUUAUGAAUAAGGAUCGGCUAACUCCGUGCCAGCAGCCGCGGUAAUACGGAGGAUCCGAGCGUUAUCCGGAUUUAUUGGGUUUAAAGGGAG
rnacentral:rRNA from 1 species